rnacentral:lncRNA from 1 species
CCCACUACUAACUGGUUCCCACUAUUUACAAACCGGUUUAAUUACGGUUCACAAAAUAGCUUCUAACUCUGCUUUACUGCUUUACAUUCUUGCAAUCAUCGCUUCUAUUUUUCUUUCUUCCCUACAGCGAAAAAAAAAAGGGGAAAAAACCCUUGAACUUCCGGGCUGCACUCUUACCGAAAAAUACCUCCACAACCACCGUCUUCGUCGGCUGUGCCACCUAAACACCACCAUUGGCUCUAUUUCUCCUUCUUCUACAUCAUAACAAACAAAAGCAAAAAAACCCUUGAACUUUCAGUCUCCCAUUUCCAUUCCCGAAAAACACUUCCACCGCUGACAUCUUCAUCUACUGUGCCACCCAAUAACCACCAUCGGCCCACCACUCAUUCAUCUACCAAUUCUUCCACAACGUCGUUUUACAAACCCAGCGCGGUAUCCGCUACGACUACUCCUAGUGAAACUAAAGAAAAUGUCACCGUUUCUUUACGAUUUCGGCUCCUUAGGUAAUAUAUUUCUUCUUUUCUUUAAAUUCGUUGACUCCUAGACGUCGGUAUUAAGUGGGUUCCGCAAAUACGUAGGAUAGUUUCGUGAAUGGCGUUUGGAAGAUUGAAUUUUUUGGUUUAUCUGUUGACUUGAUUGUUUUUGGGAUUCUUAGGUGAUGAUAUGAGGCAUAUUUUAGAUUUUGUAUAAUCAAUUUUAGGGAUUCUUUUUUCCAUGAAUUCUCUUUAUUAGGACUUCAGAAUUUGUUGCUACAUAGCUCGAGAUAUAAGGACUUCAGAAUUGGUUGCUAUCAAAGUGAUAUCAUUAGCUGAAGGGGUACUUAUUAUAUUCUUUUUUUUUUUUUUAAUUGCAUAUGAUAAUACCAUAUAAGUUUAGUGGAUCGAAUAUGAAGUUUGAAAUCUCAUAAUUUAUAAGAGGACGGUUAUGAAGAAAUUCGUGGUGAAAUUGAGAUGUUGCAGCAAUGUUGUCACCGUAACAUUGUUCGUUAUCUAGGUAGCUACCGAGGAGAAGAAUAUCAUUGGGUAUGAAGAAGAUCAUCGGCCUUCAAUUAUAUAAUAAUUUUUUUAUCUUUUUGGGAUGGUUUCGAGAACAUGAUGCUGUGUACCCCCUCCUCUUGGUUUCUAAAUCAGAUGAAAACUGUUAGUUAUUCACUUGAAUUUAAAUAUUCGAGAAUUUUGUAUAUGUUGGCAUUUGUAAUGGAUUAUUUUGGGGGCAGGAGUGUUGCUGACUUGAUGAAUGGCCUUAGCCUCUAGAGGAGUGUAAAAUAGCAUAUAUCUGCAGAGAGGCAUUGAAGGUACCAUCAUUUUGGUUAGUUAUAUUUCCAAAUCGAACUUUUUAUCUUUACUACAGAUAUAACCGUGUCCUUAAAGAAUGCUGGGAUUGUUAUUGGGUAAUGUGGAAUGAUUUUGUCCAUGUGAUAAUGCUUCACCAUCCAAGGUUAAAAUAUAUCAUGACUUGGCACGAAUGUUUUAUUUUAGAGUUUGAUAAUUACCACAUGCUUUUCCAUACUAAUCUUCUUUUACUGAAAUGCUAAAGGUGAGAAUACUUGUUCCCAUGAUGUAUAAAAUAAGCUAAAUCAGUGGGUAAUUUGAGAAAAACUUAUUCAGCAAAAAUUGUCAUUAACGUUGGGACAUGCCAAAAUUGACAGUAUCGACAUCUCCGAUAUUUUUCUUGCUGGCUGUUUCUUAUAUUUUGCUGAAACUAUAUAUAUUAUCUCAUACUUGCACUCAAUUUUCAAGUUACAUAGAGAUAUUAAAGGUAGUAAUGUGUUGUUGACGGAGUUAAAUAUUAUUUUUCUAUCUAUGUUUACAAGAAGCUCUUGUUAAUACUUGUUCAGUUGGUUGGUUGAUUUACCUUGUGGUUCUUGAAAUUUUAGAAAGCCCUUUAAGUUGGAACCUACUAUAUAUGCCAGUGCACAAGUACUUUUAUUAUGUCCGUCUUCAUUUAUAGCUCAAUUGAAAUUAUUUUUUCUUUGCUAUCUAUGUCAAAUUUUUAACAAGUACCAUUCAAGCUUUUUAAUUGCACUACUGUGAAUGUAGUCUGCUUACACCUUAAUGAUUCAGAUGAAAUGGAUAACAUGGUGAUAGAGAUAGGACAAAAACCUGGGUUCCUAUUUGCCGCCACCAUUGCCGCCGCCAAUUUAUGAAACUUUUGCAAGUGAUAUGUUGAUGAUAAAAUGAAUUCAUGGGACUUUUGAAGAUCAAUUUUAAAUAAAUAAAUGUGGCCACUUCACGAAGGCCUAAGGUUUUGGAUCACAUGUUCACAUAAAUUUUAUUCAUUUGCAUUUUUGUUGUAAUACAUAGAAUUUAUCAGUCCUUAUUGGUUUAUCAAACAAUAUAUUUUACGUCAGAUAUAAUUAUGUGCAAUUUUCAUGUCCACUAAAAGGAUAAUUAGAAAAAUGAAAUGGAUAUUUAAAUAGUAGAGACUACAAUGUUAUGGAUAUAUGAUUAUUCACAUUUCAAUUCUUAAUUACAGAGAUCAUGGGAAAGGGCAAAAAUGGCAUCAUCGCUGGAUGAAGUUGGUAGAGCUCCACUUCAUUUUGGUCUAUUUAUGCUUAUUUAUAAAUCAAAAUAUAUCAAUAGAAUUAUGUUAAAGUUUUUGGUUUUUGUGGUUUCUAAUUGGGUGCUGAUUUAUUGAUAUAGUUGUGGUAACGGAUGAUAAUAAGAUUGUAGAAUGCUAUAGAGGAUUUGGCGCGGAUGUGAUAUUGACAUCAGAAUCAUGUCAAAUUGGUAAAAUAAGUCCUUCAAUCUGCUGUGAAUCAUUGAAACUUGUGUUGGUUGGAUAUAUUGCUAAUUUUUUUGCUUUUGUAAAUUUUCUAGGCACAGAGCAUUGUAAUGAAGUACAUCAAAAGCUUGGGAACAAGUUCAAUAUUGUAUUCAAGUGGAUGAACCUCUUAUUGAACCUGAAAUAAUGGAUGGCAUGGUAAAGGCUCUUCAGGUAGUGUUUAUGCCAUAUGUAUUUCUUGGCUAAUGAAUUCAAUAGUACAACAAAUAACAAAAAAUGGUAAAGAUAGGGAUAGUAAAGAUUGAGCUCAUAUUUUAUUAUCUUUUCUCUCCAACAAGAUAACAGUCAAUACCAUCUCCAAAAUGCGAUGCCCAGUUCCUACAAUGAGUAGUGGCGCACUGCUAGUGUUUACUUGGUAUGUCAUUUAGGCCCACUCCAAACCAGUCUACAACUCGUGGUGCUCAUGCCUCGAGGCUAUAUUAAAGCAUGUAGAUACCACUUAGGAGCUCAUAGUGGUCAACUGCAUAUUGGUUUAUUUUUGUUGAAAUCCAAAGGUUAGUGUUCCGUAUGUACCUGGAUGUUAAGGAAGUCUCAUGAGUGGGUACAAACCAAUAAUAGAGUCCCCAAUGUGAACCAAUCCUUGGUCAUAUAAUUAUUGUCAAAUCACCCUUAGGGUGCCAUGAGUAUCAAGACUUGGAGUUGUUGGUCUAUCACCGUUUGGGCUAUUCUUAUGGGUUACUCAUGGUAAUUUUGAAUUGGAAUGAAAACUAAAUACUUCUCUUUUCUAAACAUUGUCUUCUCACAAUCCGUGAGACUGGUUCGAGAAUUUGAAAGAGAAGCUCCAUAAAGCCAACUGUGGUUAUUUAUAUGGAAUCGAUAUAGCUCUGGAGAGGUGAAUCCUCAAUUUCUAUAGUUGCUUCAUUUGGGGAUUUAGGUAUCUAUUAAACAAUUGUGAAAUCGUUUUGGUACCAUAAUCCUGUAUUGAAAUAUGAACAUUCUAUUUCUAAAGCCAUUUUUUCUCACUACACGGCACCUCUUGUUGUAUAGAUGGAUUUUUUUUUUUUGCUGCUGAUUGUGUUAGAAUUUCUCAAUUUUCACUUUAAGUGUUUGAAAUUUGAAGGCCUUGUUUGAGUAGCAAUAGUGAAGUUCAAAUCUUGUGUAAAUUAUCACCUUCGACUACGAAAACUUACUAAACUUCAGAAUACAUAUAUAUAUAUAUAUAUAUAUAUAUAUAUAUGUAUAUAUCAAAUGAGGGGGGAGGGGUAUGCUGAUUUUAAUAGGCUGUUUUAGACUUUUAACUUUUAAUAACUUUAAUCCUACUCAGUACUCUCCUUAGUUUUAUAUAAAUCUUUUCUUAGAAUCAUGUGUAAAUCCUUUUUUUCCCACCACCGAUGACAUAAAUUUAAACUUGAUUUCUUUUUAUAAGGUCACCCGUGGCACUCCCUUUUAAAAUUCUUAGAUUAAUUUAUCCCUUUUUCCAGCAUCUUUGGAAAACAUCAAAAGGCUCACUCUGGCCAAAAGUUUUAACCUAUCUGGGUCACUCAGGAUUAACCUAAAAACAGUAUGACUUCUAGAAAUCAAGUUAUGCUUUUAUUAUAUGCAUAGGAUGAAAUGAUAAAUAUAACAAAUAUUUACUUAACAAAAACAUAAACAUACAAAAACAUAAGCAUAAAAGGAUAAAACAUAAAUCAGGGAUUUAUAAAUUCAUCUUUGAAAAGAUUUACAACUAAGGAUUUCCCUUUUGGGAAGUCCCUAAAGUUCUAAAAUAAACUUAAGAAAGUAAAAGAAUACCUUAAAUAUUCACAAGAGUGUUUCAGCUAUACAAUAUUUUUUGGAUUGAGAAUUUUUCUGGAGGAAAUGUUUCAAAGGUUUUUUAGAUAGCAGAGAGUAUACAGGUUGUAAACUUCUGUCUAAACCGAAUAAAACUCAUUCCUUAAAUAGAAAAAUUUUUGGGAGUAAAAAGUCUAAAUUAUCCUUAAGAAAGGCACACAUUUCACCGAGAAACUUUUGGCCAUUUUAAAGUCUAACAAGUGGCAAGGAAAAUUUCAAAAGUUCCUACGUCUUUUGCUAAGAAUUCAAAAGGUCUACAGUUGGAAAUAUUUCUUUUACAAGAUUUCCACCAACUUUACAAAAAAGUCUAAGAAUUCUAUCAAUAAAAUAGAGAAAGUCUAAAGUUGAAUAGUAAACUUUUAUCACCACUUUGAGAGAAUAUUUCAUCUUUUAUUCUUUUCUGCUGGCACAUUUGUCUUGUUUUGCAUUAUUGAGAAUCUUAUCUUCAGUUUUUUCUUCUUUUCUUCUACCAAAUUGUCUUAUUCUGCAUUAUUGAAAAUCUUUAUCAUGUAUCAAGAUUAUGGCGUGCCACUGAUGAAAAUGACAUUCCACUGUCUGAAUUAUUAUAUCCUUCGUUCUGUAGAUCUUCGUCUUUGUCUGAAAGUCUGGAAUUACUGGUUUCAUUUUUUUUUUUUGAUGUGGACAUUCUGGAAUUUCUUUCUCUUCUCCAUGAUUUUUUUUAGAAUUGUCUCAAAUGUUUGAUUGACUGCUUCUCUAAUUUGUUUUUUUUAAUCCUUCAUCAUUUUUCUUCUUCUUAAUUUUUUUCCUUUUUUUGGAAGAAGUUCCUUCAUCUUUUUUAGAUUGUUUCUGAAAUUCUUCAAUUUUUUCAAAAAUCUUUUUUAAAGAAACAGUAUCUGGAUUAGGGUCUUGUGCUUCUUGAAGAAAUAAGCAGUCUUGACUAUCUUGGGCUACCAUUUUUUUUUUUCCUUUACUAGGAUGAAUUUCUUGGGCUUGUGAAAGAUCUGGGUUAUUUGAAAAGUGUUCUGGUGAAAAAUAUUUUGGUGGACUAUAUAUAACUAAGUAAUCAAAUUUUCCGCUGGGCUAUCCUAAAAGAUUCCAAAUUUUUUUACCUUUUUCUGUAGCAGAUUUAUCAGUCUGCUGAGUCUGAUUAUAUAAUUUAGUAGAGGAAUCAAUAGUCCCCUGAGUCUGUUGGACUUUUGGUAAGUUCACAACCUUCAACGGAUUUGAUAAGUCUUUACCAGCUACAGUUGGGGCUGGACUAGCUAUGGACUUCUUGGGCUCCAUAGUACAUGUUGGAUAUUGGACUUUUAAAUCCAAAUUUCUUUUUCGAGUUGGGCUACUUUCUUUUGGAGUUGGGUUCUUUCUAGUGAAAUGUUCUGAUUGGCUUCAUUGAUAACUUUGUAAUUUCUUUGCAUACACUCACAGUGUUGGCAAAAAAUAUUCUGGUCUUUACUUGGAGAGAAGUCUAAUGGAGGAUCAGAGUAAUUCUUUAAAGAAGGAGAUAAAUAAAAAUUUAUUCCUAUAUGCUGUCUUGCUGCGUCUAAUGCUUCUUGAAAAUUGUAAAACCUUUGUAAAGAGGGUUUGGAAAAUUUUUAAUGCAAUCUAAAACUUCUAUCCAAGAAUGAAAAAUUUCUGGAUUUUUACCUUUAAUAACAACAUAGAAUUUAAAUCUUUGCUUGUUUUGACUAAAAUGUUCUGACAAUACAUUCAUGCAUACAAGAAAAUAUUUUUGAUCUUUUGGAUUCUUAUUAUAUGAAUUACAUAAAUAACAAGCUUGUGAUACCAAUUACAUAAAAAGGAAGUAGUAAUUGGGAUAGAAAAAGCUUAUAAUAUUAGAACUCACAGGUAUAAGAGAUAAAAGAUUAACUUAUCAAGUAAAAUAUAGUAUAGAUAUUUGUGGAUAUUUUGAGGAAGAUAACAUAGUAGGAACAUAUAGUAAAUAUUUAUUUGAAAUUUUAGAAAUUUUAAGAAUUGUUAAAGAUUUACUUGUUGAAUUAAGAGAAAAUAUAGUAAAAAGAGUUUUAGUAGAAGAAUAUAGAAAUAUUUAUAUUUUAACAGAAAUCUAUUAUAUAUUAGAACUCUGGAUACAAAUAGAAAGCUUGAAUACUUAGACUUAGAUUUAAGAAAUAUCAGUAAAAAAGUACAAACAAUUGAUAAUAAUAUAAUUAAGUGUAAUUUAGACAAUAAGCAUAAAUUACAUAGUUUAUUUUCAGAAGAUCCAAGUCAGAAUUGUAUAGUAGACUUAAUCAUAAAUUUAUCAAAAAAUUUAGAAUUAGAAAAUAAAAAGCAAAAUAAUUAUUUAGAAGUUAUAAAAGAAAAUAUUAUAGUUAGAGAUCAAGAAAUUAAAAAUAUAAAAGAAUCUUUAGAUUAUAUUAAAAAUCAAAAUUCAAGUAUUUUAGAAAAAAUUGCUAAAUUAGAAAAAAUACCAUCCAAAGUAGAUUUAACAGAAAUAAAGAGAAUUUUAGAUUUUAAUAAAUCUAAAGAAAUAGAAAUAGGAUCUACAUCAAGUGUAGAAAAAGAUCUAAAAGCUUUAACAAUUACAUUAGAAAAUCUAAGUUUUAGAGAAACAUGAAAAGAAAAGGUAACUAGGAAAUUACCUAAAGAAUAUAAAUUUUCAAAAUGAAUAUCAAUCAUUUCCUAGGAAGAUCUAGAACAAUAAAUGAAGAAGCAUCCGCAUCUAGAAAUAAUACUUCAAGUGUAAGCAGAAAUAUAAUAGAAAGAGUUUUAAAUAGACCAGUGCAAUAUAAUCAAAAUAUAAAAGAAAUUAUAGAUCCUCAACAGGAUUAUUUAAGAUUUCAGACUAAUGGACUUAGAAUUCUUAACCCAGAAAUAUUAUAUAAUAGAGGAAUUUUUGAAACAAGAACACGAUUUUUCAGACAUAGUAGAGAAGUAUCUGUUCAGUGUAUAGGAAAUCAAGUAAGAAAAUUAAAUUUAAUAUCAGAAGAUUCUAAGAGAGAAUUAAAAAAGAAAAAUUUUAGAUUUAUGCAUUUAGGAUUAAUAGUUAUAGUAAUAAAAGAAUUAAUGAGAAAAAAUUUAAGAUGCAAGGUUUUAGUUUCCAUAUAUGAUGAAAGAAUUAAUAAUAUAGAUAAAAGCAUGAUUGCUAGUACAGAAGUUGAUAUGAAUAAUAAUAAUGGAAUAAUUUAUUGUAAUCCAAAUUUUUUAUUAACUAUUAAAGACUUUUCAGAUAAAAUUAAAAUAGGAAUUCAAACAAAAUGAUAUGAAGAGGUAGAAAGUGGAGACAAUUUAUUAAUUAGUAUAGGAUUUUUAGAAUGAUGUUCAAAUAAUUCCCAGACAAAAUAUAAAAUUUAUAUAGAUAAAGUAGUAAAUUUAAUGAGUAGCAAAGAAAUUAAUAUGGUUAAACCUAAAGAAUAUUCAUCAGAACAAUUAGCAGGAUUAGAAUGUGAUAUGGAUAAAUUUUUAGAAAAUCAAGAAACAAUUAUAACACCACAAGAAGCAUUAACUUAUAAAGAUAUUCAUGGAAGAACUAGUUUAAGAUUUCUAGAUUAUAAUCAGGUACAAAGACAGAAUGAUUUUGAGUAAGAAACUAAUCCUGAAGAAGAACAAAAUGAACCAUUUCAAAGUCAAGUUCAUAUAGAAUUAAUAGAUGAAGAAUUAGAUAAAAUAAUUUAUCCAAAUGAAUUAGGAAUGAAUUUAGAUAAUAAAGAAUUAUUAGAACUAGAAGAUCAAAUGUAUCUUAAUAAGACAAUUACAGAAUCUGAAUAUUUAUAUUAUGAUCAAGAACAUUAUAUAAGAAUUGGAAUUAUUAAACAAGAUAAUGAUUCAGAAAACUCAUAUUUAAGUUAUACAAAUGAACUUAUGAAAGAUUCAAAUACAUAUAGAACUUUUAGUGAUACUUCUUUUGAUAGAACAAUCAAACAUGAAUCAAUAGUUUAUGGAGGAGGAUUUCCCCCAAGAGGAGCUUAUCAUUUAUAUAAUAAUACAGAAGGAAAAUAUAUAGCAAGAGGAAGUGAAAGACUUUUAGAAAAGAAAAUAGAGUUUCAAUCAGAUCAUAAAGCACAAAUCUUAAAUAUCACAGCAUAUGAUCCACAGACAUGGAAUAAUGUUAUAGAUGUAUGGAAAAAUACUAUAAUAGGACAUUACAUUAGAAAUUUUCAAGAAAUGGAAGUUUUAGAUAUGUAUAGAUACUUAGAAACAUUCUUAGGAGAAAGUGUAAAAGCUAUGUGGGAAGCAUUUAAAUUAGAAAAGAAAGAAGAAUUUGAACAAUUAAUUAAUAUGAGAAGCAAUCCUUAUAAUUUUGUUAAUAAAAUACAGAUAUUAAUAACAGGAGCAGACCCAAAUUCAGGAUAUAUGAGUAUACAAAGAAAAGUUAUGAGAGAUUUAGAACAACUUAGUCUUUAUAAAUGGACUAAAGGAAGAUAUGUUAAGAACUUUUUAAAUGAAUACCAUUAUUUAACUUCAAUAUCAGGAAAUACAUUUAAUCAAGAAAUUAGUAAUAAAUUAUUUCAUAAAUUACCAGGACCAUUAGGAUUAGAGAUUACAGAUAAAUGGAAUAAUUUACCAGCAGUAAAAGAAGAAUCAGAAUCAGAACUGAAUUUAAUGAAUAGCAUAAUUAUAGAAUGUUUACAUAAUUGGCAAAAAUAUAAAGGAGCGGAUAAUAUAGCUUGUUAUUUAUGUAAUUGGUAUCCUGUAAGAAAAUUUAGAGCUAAAUGUUUAGAAUGUUAUAAAAAAGCAUGUAUAAAAUGUUUGGAAAAAAAGAAUCUUAUUGAAAAAGAAGAAAUUAACUCAGAAAUACUAAAAGAAAAAAUUGAAAUUUCAGAAAUAAAAGUUCUUAGAAAAAGAAUAGAAAGUUUAGAAGAAAUGUAAAAAUUUAUAAUAAAUAAAAUAGAAAUGUUAGAAUACAAUAAUAAAGGAAAAACAAUAGAAAUAGAAGAACAAAGUCAAAGUACAAAAUAUAAAGAGAAAGAAUAUGUUCAGGUAAUAUGUAAUCCAGAAAAACUUAAAAGUAUUGAGGCGAAAUGUUACAUAAGAAUAUGACAAUAUAAAAUAAAAUGUUUAGGAUUAAUAGACUCAGGAUGCAGUAAUUGUAUAAUUAAUACCAAAACAAUACAUAACAUAUUCAGAUAAACCAAUAGAAGCACAACAGAUAGAUGAAGAACUUUAUACUUACACAGAAUUAUUACAAUCAAAUAGUAAAAUUAAUUUUGAGACAAACUGUGGUAGAAGUAUAGAAUAUACCUUACCAAAAGAAUCAGUUUGGGUUAGACCUUUAAAUAUUAAAGAUACAGAUUUUAUUAUAGGAUUAAGUUUUUUAUUAAAAGAUAAUGGAAGUGUUACAAUUACUAAAGAUUUUUUACAUUUACAAAAACAUACAUUAUUCACACCAACACAGACUACCUAUUUUCCAUCAGAGUGCAUAGAGAAGCGUGGUGGUAGUAGCAGCAAUAGUUGUAAGUGUGAAAAAGAAAGAGAAUGUCAAUUGAUAGAAGAAGAUAAUUUAGAAAAAAUAAAUUUUGAAAUUCUAGAAGAUGAAAUUUUAGAAGAAGAUAAUCUAGAUUUUGGAAUUAUAGAAUUAAUUGAUAAUGAAAAAAUCUAUGAUAUGUUAAUAACAGAAUAAGAAAUAGAAAAUUUAAUAUCUAGAUUAGAAAAGAUAGAAAUAAUAGGAGAAAAUGUUUUAAAAUACUGGGAGAAAGAUAAAAUUUUAUGUGAAUUAAAAAUUAAAAAUUCAGAAUACAUAAUUAAAACCAAGAAUAUAGAAGCUACAAAUUUAGAUUUACAAGAUUUUAAAAUACAUAUAAAAGAACUCUUGGAAUUAGGAGUAAUUAGAAAAUCAGAAAGUUCUCAUAGAUUAGCAGCCUUUAUAGUUAGAAAACAUUCAGAAAUUGUUAGAGAAAAAAGUAGAAUGGUUAUUAAUUAUAAAAGACUUAACGAUAAUACUAUAGAUGAUGUUUAUAACAUACCAGAUAAGACAGUUUUAAUAAAUAAAAUACAAGAAUGUAAAAUUUUUAGUAAAUUUGAUUUAAAAUCAGGAUUUUGACAAGUAAAAAUACAUCCAGAAAAUAUUAAAUGGACAGCUUUCACUUGUCCAGAAGGACAUUUUGAAUGACUUGUAAUGCCAUUUGGAAUUAAGAAUGUACCAAGUAUUUUCCAAAGAAAAAUGGAAAGUAUUUUUAAUAAAUAUAGUAAGUUUGUAAUAGUAUACAUAGAUAAUAUUUUAAUAUUUAGUAAAAAUAAAUAAGAACAUAGAGGACAUUUACAAAUAGUAUUUUCAGAAAUUAUUAAACAUGGUUUAAUAAUUAGUAAAAAGAAAAUGAUUCUAUUUAAAAAAUUUAUAGAUUUCUUAGGAGUUAAUAUAGGAGAAGGUAAAAUUAAGUUACAACCCCAUAUUGCUAAGAAAGCUUUAGAAUUUCCUGACAAACUAGAAGAUUUAAAACAAAUCCAAAAUUUUUUAGGAUUAGUAAAUUAUGCUAGACCGUUUAUAAAAUAUUUGGGAAAAAUAGCAGGACCCUUAUAUGCAAAGACAUCUCCUACAGGACAAAGAUUUUUUAAUUAAGAAGACAUAAAAUUAGUUCAACAAAUAAAAGAAAAAAUAAAAACUUUACCAGAAUUGGCUAUGUCAUUAGAUUUAAAAUAUUUAAUUAUAGAAAUAGAUGAAAGUAUGACAGGAUGGGGAGCAAUAUUAAUAUGCAAAUUCAAUAAAUAUACUGAUAAAAGUACAGAAAGAAUUUGUAGGUACAAUAGUGAAAAUUCUAAAGAGAAAGGAAAUUUAAGUAGCAUAAAUGCAGAAUUAUUAGCUAUAAAUUAUGCAUUAGAUAGUUUUGAACUAUUUAUUAUAUCUAAGAAAUAAAUAACUAUAAGAACAGAUUGUGUAGCCAUAGUUUGUUAAUAAAAUGAAAAUGGAAACAAAAAGAAGUAGCAGAAGAAGGUGGUUAAACUUUAUAGAUAGAAUUACAAAUACAGGAAUUAAUAUAGAAUUUGAGCAUAUUAAAGGUAGUGAUAAUAAAGCGGCAGAUAUACUUAGUAGAAUAAUAAUAGAUAGAAAUUACUAAAUUUGUUUAACAUAAUUUUUUAUACAGAUGAUAAGACCAAGACCUUUAAGACCAGGAAUUCCACCUGAGAAUUCAUUUGCAUCAAGUUCUUUACCACAAACUCCAUUUAAUCAGAACAGACCAAUGUUACAAGACAUGUUAAGGUUUGGAAACCAAGAACUUAUAGUUUUUCCAAAUAGUAAUAUUUCUUUUAAAAUUUUAGCGCAUAUUUCUUUAUCUAGAGAAGAAAAAUGUAUUUUAGAUAAUUUAUGAAUUUCAUAUAAUAAGAAUCCAAAAGAUCAAAAAUAUUUUCUUGCAUCCAUGAAUGUAUUGUCAGAACAUUUUAGUCAAAACAAGUAAAGAUUUAAAUUCUAUGUUGUUAUUAAAGGUAAAAAUCCAGAAAUUUUUCAUUCUUAGAUGGAAGUUUUAGAUUGCAUUAAAAAUUUUCCAAACCCUCUUUACAAAGGUUUUACAAAUUUUCAAGAAGCAUUAGACGCAGCAAGACAGCAUAUAGGAAUAAAUUUUUAUUUAUCUCCUUCUUUAAAGAAUUACUCUGAUCCUCCAUUAGACUUCUCUCCAAGUAAAGACAAGAAUAUUUUUUGCCAACACUGUGAGUGUAUGCAAAUAAAUUACAAAGUUAUCAAUGAAGCCAAUCAGAACCUUUCACUAGAAAGAACCCAACUCCAAAAGAAAGUGGCUCAACUCGAAAAAGAAAUUUUGAAUUUAAAAGUCCAAUAGCCAACAUAUAUUAUGGAGUCCAUAGCUAGUCCAGCCUAAACUGUAGCUGGUAAAGACUUAUCAAAUCCGUUGAAGGUUGUGGACUUACCAAAAGUCCAACAGACUCAGGGGACUAUUGAUUCCUCUACUAAAUUAGAUAAUCAGAUUCAGCAGACUGAUAAAUCUGCUACAGAAAAAGGUAAAGAAAUUUGGGAUCUUUUAGGACAGCCCAGCGAAAAAUUUGAUUACUUAGUUAAAUAUAGUCCACCAAAACAUUUUUCACCAGAACACUUUUCAAAUAACCCAGACUUUCAGAUGAAGACGAAGAUCCACAGAAUGAAGGAUACAAUAAUUCAGACAUUGAAAUGUCAUUUUUAUCAGUGGUACGUCAUAAUCUUGAUACAUGAUAAAGAUUUUCAAUAAUGCAGAAUAAGACAAUUUGGUAGAAGAAAAAACUGAAGAUAAGAUUCUCAAUAAUGUGCUAGCAGAAAAGAUGAAAGAUUCUCUCAAAGUGGUGAUAAAAGUUUACUAUUCAAUUUUUGACUCUCUUUUAUUGAUAGAAUUCUUAGACUUUUUUGUAAAGUUGGUGGAAAUCUUGUAAAAGAAAGAUUCCCAACUGUAGACCCUUUGAAUUCUUAGCAAAAGACGUAGGAACUUUUGAAAUUUUCCUUGCUACUUGUUAGACUUUAGAAUGGCCAGAAGUUUCUCGGUGAACCGUGUGCCUUUCUUAAUGAUAAUUUAGACUUUUUACUCCUAAAAAUUUUUCUAUUUAAGGAAUGAGUUUUAUUCGGUUUAGGCAGAAGUUUACAACUCGUGUACUCUCUGGUAUCUAAAAAAUUUUUCCUCCAGAAAAGUUCUCAAUCCAAAAAAUAUUGUAUAGUUGAAACACUCUUGUGAAGAUAAUAAAGUAUUCUUUUACUUUCUUAAGUUUAUUUUAGAACUUUAGGGACUUCCCGAAAGGGAUAUCCUUAGUUGUAAAUCUUUUCAAAGAUAAAUUUAUAAAUUCUUGAUUUAUGUUUUAUCUUUUUAUGCUUAUGCUUUUGUAUGUUUAUGUUUUUGUUAUGUAAAAUAUUUGUUAUGUUUAUCAUUUCAUCCUAUGCAUAUAAUAAAAGCAUAACUUGAUUUCUAUAAAUUAUACUGUUUUUAGGUUAAUCUUGGGUGACUCAGAUAGGUGAAAACUUUUGGCCGAAGUGAACUUUUUGAUAUUUUCCAAAGAUGCUGGGGAAAUGAAUAAAUUAAUCUAAGAAUUUUAUAAGGGAGUGCCACGGGUGACCUUAUAGAAAGAAAUCAGGUUUAAGUUUAUAUGUCAUAGGUGGUGGAAAAAAAAAGAUUUAUACAUGAUUCUAAAAAAAGAUUUAUAUAAAACUAAGGAGAGUACUGAGUAGAAUUAAAGUUAUUAAAAGUUAAAAGUUUAAAACAGCCAUUAAAAACAGCAUACCCCGCACCCCCCCCUCCCAUUUGAUAUAUAUAUAUAUAUAUAUAUAUAUAUAUAUAUAUAUUCAUUUGUAGGGUUUUUCAUUCUUCUUGCUAGCAUUAUACUCCUUUGCAAAAGGUAAAUGCUUUUUAUUUUAUUCAAUUUACUAAUCUUGCAAAAACUCCUACGUGUCUAUAUAUAUAUAUAUAUAUAUAUAUAUAUAUUCAUUUGUAGGGUUUUUCAUUCUUCUUGCUAGCAUUAUACACUCCUUUGCAAAAGGUAAAUGCUUUUUAUUUUAUUCAAUUUACUAAUCUUGCAAAAACUCCUACGUGUUUUAUAGGAAAGAUUGGUUAAUAAUUUUUUGAAUAAAAUUUUAUAUCGUUAAAUGUCAUGUUGUCGUGCACAAAAAAGAAAUUUUUUGGCUACCUUGCAAAACAUAAACUCGGUUAGUUUUAUUUCAAGAUGGAUAUGAGCAGCCCAUGAAACCAAAAUAAAUUCAAUUGUUGACUCAACUGAUUCUAUAGUUUUAGAUUUGUAAAAUUCUACUAAAUUUAUUGAUAUAAAUAGUGCUUUUUGUUUAAAACAACUGAAAGAAAAAGGAAUUGAACAAUAAGAAAUGAAAAUGAGUUGAUGUCUAUAACCUAUUGUUGCACUAUUAUCGUCAUCACCUGUAGGUCUCCAAAUUGCCCUGCUGUCUUCAUCACCUGUAGGCCUCCAAAAUUUUCUUUUGUCACUCGUAAGUGAAGUUUAGUCGGGGCAUAUCAGCUACUUUUUCAUAAAAGUAUAAGCAUUACACCUUAUAUAUCCACAAAGAUCUUUCCAGUAAAGGAUUCUUUAAAUUACCCUAUAUGAUCUAGGAUGCAAUGAAUGUUAGAAAUCUUAGAGAAAAGUAUAAGAUAUUCCGGUGAAACAUUGAGUGAAAAUUUUACUUAAUCUUUCAUAGAUAAGCCUAAUUAGCUAUACUUGUCAGAUCCACGCCAAACCUGAGAUGCACCUUCUCCAUUAUAACGAUAGCGAUAUCUGUAAUCUUCCUCUUGUUUUUUAAUAUCCUCAUCACUUAAUUGUGUGAUUCUUCUAUACAUUAAACUUGCAAUGUCAGGUUCCUUGUUCCUGCGAUUUAUUCGCACUUGAUAAGAAGCACAACAUAAACCAGCUUAUUAAACAAUGCAAGUAUCUAAGAAAAAUUAUGAACUACAAUCAGUUUUUGGACAAUCAAGAUAUUAGGCUCAUAUCUCUGACUCCUUAUGUCGAUAUUGUAAAUAUCUACAUAUUCUUAACAAGUUCUCAUCCAUCUUUUCUUCUCUCUCUACAGCAAUUUCACUUGACAAUUUGUUUUAUGACUCAACUCUUUCUGUUUUCAAUUGAACUCAGAUUACUUCUGUUAUGGAUCAUGUUGGAGUUCAAGAUCCAAUAGCAAAAAACUGCAGAAUUUGAUGAUGACGAUGGGGGUACUUUGGUGAGUUAAAUUUUCUUAAUUAAAUUUAGGUGUCAUUAAAUUCAUCAUAUUGUAAUGAAAAUGUAAUUCAUUUAUUGUUCCUAAUUGGUUAUGAAGUGC